rnacentral:rRNA from 1 species
AAUAUUGGACAAUGGGGGCAACCCUGAUCCAGCGACGCCGCGUGGGUGAAGAAGGCCUGCGGGUUGUCAAGCCCUUUCGGUUGGGAAGAAAAGCUGCGACCUAACACGUUGCGGCCUUGACGUAACCAACUAAAGAAGCACCGGCUACCUCCGUGCCAGCAGCCGCGGUAAUACAGAGGGUGCGAGCGUUAAUCGGAAUUACUGGGCGUAAAGCGCGCGUAGGCGGCUUUGCAAGUCGAGUGUGAAAUCCCCAGGCUUAACCUGGGAACUGCAUUCGAGACUGCAUAGCUAGAGUAUGGGAGAGGGAAGUGGAAUUUCAGGUGUAGCGGUGAAAUGCGUAGAUAUCUGAAGGAACAUCAGUGGCGAAAGCGACUUCCUGGACCAAUACUGACGCUCAUGUGCGAAAGCGUGGGGAGCAAAC